rnacentral:rRNA from 1 species
CAGCAGUGGGGAAUCUUGGACAAUGGGGGCAACCCUGAUCCGGCAAUACCGCGUGUGGGAAGAAGGCCUUCGGGUUGUAAACCACUUUUGGCAGGGAAGAAAUUGGCCUGGUUAAUACCUGGGCUGGAUGACGGUACCUGCAGAAUAAGCACCGGCUAACUACGUG